AUUGAACGCUGGCGGCAGGCCUAACACAUGCAAGUCGAGCGGAUGAAGGGAGCUUGCUCCUGGAUUCAGCGGCGGACGGGUGAGUAAUGCCUAGGAAUCUGCCUGGUAGUGGGGGAUGACGUCCGGAAACGGGCGCUAAUACCGCAUACGUCCUGAGGGAGAAAGUGGGGGAUCUUCGGACCUCACGCUAUCAGAUGAGCCUAGGUCGGAUUAGCUAGUUGGUGGGGUAAAGGCCUACCAAGGCGACGAUCCGUAACUGGCCUGAGAGGAUGAUCAGUCACACUGGAACUGAGACACGGUCCAGACUCCUACGGGAGGCAGCAGUGGGGAAUAUUGGACAAUGGGCGAAAGCCUGAUCCAGCCAUGCCGCGUGUGUGAAGAAGGUCUUCGGAUUGUAAAGCACUUUAAGUUGGGAGGAAGGGCAGUAAGUUAAUACCUUGCUGUUUUGACGGUACCAACAGAAUAAGCACCGGCUAACUUCGUG
rnacentral:rRNA from 1 species